AGCCCCAGGCACCAGUGUCAAUUCAAGGGCUGAGACUUGAAGGUUUAGCAAUUUGCAUGUUUCAGCUUCCCAGUGCACAAAGGUCAAAGGUUGCAGUUAUGGAAGGAAAAGGAUCAGAAAAAAAACAUGGAAAAUAGGAAAAUAGAAUCUGGUUCUAUAAGCAGGAAAGAGAUGCAGGAAACAAUUCAGAGGAAAAGAGGCAAAAAGUAAACUGGCACUACAAGCUGGGGUGUCUUAUUCACCAAGAGAAGCAAACGGACAGCACAUUUUGGGGGACAAUGUUUAACACAAGUAGAUAUUCAUGAUUUUUAAGCACUUUGGGAAAAUCUGGUGUUAAUGGAUAUUAAUGAGGACACCUGUCUUGUUUAUUGAUUACAGCAGCUCUCCACUGGAAGUUCCUGUAGCAACUCGAGCUAUGUCCUGGGUAUCUAAGGAUCCAGGUGAUUACUGGAACCUGCUGCAGAGGUUGCAACCCUGCCUCUCUCUUUCGGACCCUCAGGUUGCCCUAGUGACUUUUCUCCACGCCUCUUUGCGUGCUAUCUAUGGGACAUAGAGUUUGAACCUCUCUCUCUCCUUUUUCCUCUCCUUGCUUUGCUUUAAUCCAUCAUUUCUAGGUGUGUGACAACAUUCCCUAACUUAACCCCCCUGCUUUCCUAUUUCAGCUACCGUCACAAUGAUCUUAAUACCAUUAGGUAUCUAGCACUUGGCAAUUUUCAAAGAGCUUCCGCUAGAUCCUCCCUUGGAAUCUUGUGAUGCAGGUGAGAUAGCUAGGAGUGUCUCCUUUUUAAAGGAAAUCAUGGCAGAGAAGUUCAGUGAUAGCCCAAUAUUACACAAUCAUAAAGUGGUGAGACCAGGAGCAGGUUACAGGUCCCCACCCUGGUGCAGUGAAAGGGUGGGGCACGUAAGUUCUGAAGUUUCAGGCAAGUGUGCUGUGAUGGAAUGUGUUAAACUUAGGCUAACAGAGAAUAAGGAAGGGCUGUAACAACUCAUAAUAGGCCUACAGAAUACCUUCAAACCCAUGAAUUUGUAUUUUAAGAACAUAUACGCUCGUGAAGAGUUUUCUAACUCAUUUUUAAGUUUUCUAGACGUCUUAUCCACAUACUUUUUUUUUUUUUAAGGCACUGAGAUCUUGAAAUUGAAAUGUAGAUAGAGUUGUGGGGUAAAGAACUUCUGUUGAGGCUAGGUGCAGUGGCUCAAGCCUGUAAUCCCAGAACUUUGGAAGGCCAAGGAGGGUGGAUCACUUGAGGUCAGGAGUUCGAGUCCAGUCUGGCCAACGUGGUGAAACCCCAUCUCUACUAAAAAUACAAAAAAUUAGCCAAGCGUGGUGGUGGGCAUCUGUAGUUCCAGCUACUCAGGAGACUGAGGCAGGAGAAUUGCUUGAACUCGGGAGGCAGAGGUUGCAACGAGCUGAGAUGGUGCCAUUGCACUCCAGUCUGGGCAACAAAAGUGUGAUUCCAUCUCAAAAAAAAAAAAAAAAAAAAAA
rnacentral:lncRNA from 1 species